rnacentral:sRNA from 1 species
UAAGAAGCUGUAGCGUAUGUAUGUGGU